CCUACGGGUGGCAGCAGUGAGGAAUAUUGGUCAAUGGGCGAGAGCCUGAACCAGCCAAGUCGCGUGAAGGAUGACGGCCCUACGGGUUGUAAACUUCUUUUGUCAGGGAGCAAUUGGGUCCACGCGUGGGCUUAGCGAGAGUACCUGAAGAAAAAGCAUCGGCUAACUCCGUGCCAGCAGCCGCGGUAAUACGGAGGAUGCGAGCGUUAUCCGGAUUUAUUGGGUUUAAAGGGUGCGUAGGCGGAAGAUAAAGUCAGCGGUAAAAGUUCGGGGCCCAAGCCCGUCGUGCCGUUGAAACUGAUGAUCUUGAGUGGGCGAGAGGUAUGCGGAAUGCGUGGUGUAGCGGUGAAAUGCAUAGAUAUCACGAAGAACUCCGGUUGCGAAGGCAGCAUACCGGCGCCCAACUGACGCUGAGGAACGAAAGCGUGGGUAUCGAACAGGAUUAGAUACCCCAGUAGUC
rnacentral:rRNA from 1 species